CAAAACCCCCAAUGUGAACGUUACCAAACUGUUGCCUCGGCGGGGUCACGCCCCGGGUGCGUCGCAGCCCCGGAACCAGGCGCCCGCCGGAGGAACCAACCAAACUCUUUCUGUAGUCCCCUCGCGGACGUAUUUCUUACAGCUCUGAGCAAAAAUUCAAAAUGAAUCAAAACUUUCAACAACGGAUCUCUUGGUUCUGGCAUCGAUGAAGAACGCAGCGAAAUGCGAUAAGUAAUGUGAAUUGCAGAAUUCAGUGAAUCAUCGAAUCUUUGAACGCACAUUGCGCCCGCCAGUAUUCUGGCGGGCAUGCCUGUCCGAGCGUCAUUUCAACCCUCGAACCCCUCCGGGGGAUCGGCGUUGGGGAUCGGGACCCCUCACACGGGUGCCGGCCCCGAAAUACAGUGGCGGUCUCGCCGCAGCCUCUCCUGCGCAGUAGUUUGCACAACUCGCACCGGGAGCGCGGCGCGUCCACGUCCGUAAAACACCCAACUUUCUGAAAUGUUGACCUCGGAUCAGGUAGGAAUACCCGCUGAACUUAAGCAUAUCAAUAAGCGGAAAAA
rnacentral:rRNA from 1 species